GGAAAAACAACCACUGAUGUAAUGUACUUUCUAAACUAAACACAAGGCAUACUCUGUUGCAGCCAUUUGAAUAAUGAUUAAAAGGAAAACCAAAACAAAGAUAAUUUGGACUACUUAGUCCUGAAUACUGAAAGAAAAAGUGUGAGCUCUUCCAUGGUGUGUGGCUGGGAAAUAUUAGCCCUGAACUUUAUGUGCUCUGGAUCAUCUCUGCUCCUAGAGGAGAAAAGAAGGACCUACUCCUAGGUAGGGGGAAAACAGCAAAAAGAGAUUUUGUAUUAGAUAGAGGGAGUAGAGAUGUUCAUGGGAAUUGGAUCAUGCCAGGCAGAGGGGCAAUAGAAAUAUCAUGGACCUCUAGUGACCAUCUAGUAUGGUCCUACAAGGCCCAUCUGAGAUAUCUUUUUGUCCAAAUGUCCAACAGGACACUCUUUGGAAAGAGUGCAGAAGAUUAAUCAAGAGGAAAACGAGCAGAGGUUUAAUUUACACUCCCAUUUCACAGAAAGACAUCACAACAGCACUUGCUUGUGUGAGGUUUCUGACUGCUUUUUAUGGAAUGAAAGAAAAAUCACAUGAAUUUCAGCUGGAGCAAAGCCAUAGAACUUGAUUUCAUAAUGCAAAUCAUUACAACUCUGGUGCAUCUGGUAUGAGUCACUGGUAUAUUUCACUGAAUUUCUUUGUAUCUGAAGUCAAUCCUUUUCCCUGGGAGGCUCCAAAGUAGAAACAAUGAUAAACUGGUUCUCCUGCCCUGAGCACUCAGGUUCAAUAUGAACAAUGACAACUUUGAUAAAGUUACCAAGCAGAUUUUGGCUAGAGCUAAGAGAGCAAUUUAUAUUAAAC
rnacentral:lncRNA from 1 species